GACGAACGCUGGCGGCGUGCUUAACACAUGCAAGUCGAACGGAAAGGCCCUGCUUUUGUGGGGUGCUCGAGUGGCGAACGGGUGAGUAACACGUGAGUAACCUGCCCUUGACUUUGGGAUAACUUCAGGAAACUGGGGCUAAUACCGGAUAGGAGCUCCUGCUGCAUGGUGGGGGAUGGAAAGUUUCGGCGGUUGGGGAUGGACUCGCGGCUUAUCAGCUUGUUGGGGGGGUAGUGGCUUACCAAGGCUUUGACGGGUAGCCGGCCUGAGAGGGUGACCGGCCACAUUGGGACUGAGAUACGGCCCAGACUCCUACGGGAGGCAGCAGUGGGGAAUAUUGCACAAUGGGCGGAAGCCUGAUGCAGCAACGCCGCGUGCGGGAUGACGGCCUUCGGGUUGUAAACCGCUUUCGCCUGUGACGAAGCGUGAGUGACGGUAAUGGGUAAAGAAGCACCGGCUAACUACGUG
rnacentral:rRNA from 1 species